rnacentral:lncRNA from 1 species
AUUUAGUCUUUUGAAGUCUUAGCUUACUUUUAAAAAAUAAUCAUGACCAACACAAUGAACUCUGAGACCCAUUUGUCUGCAGCAGAGUGGCCUGGACAGCACAGCAGCAGAUUAGCAUCUUUGCCCAAAGUUGGGCAAGGCAAAAAGUGGAGUGAAUGUUAGAUUUUGAAAGCCUAUGCAUUUAGAAAGGACAUGCCAAGUGUAGAACAACAAUUUUUUGAUAAGUGGGAUGAAAAUAGGAAGCACUCUAUCCAGUUUUUUUUACUCAGUUGUUUUUCAGUGGAACUAUUCUUGCUUGAUUAAUUGAAUAGUGUUCAUCCAGCUGUCAAGGCUGGAAAUCUGACUCCUCCCUUUAAUCCUAAAUAACUUAAUUGGCCUUCUACCAUGAACCACCACUUGAUCCUUCCCUGUAAAUCUCAAAUGAAUGAAAUGUCCUUGAUCCCAUCUCUGAAAUUUCUCUCACACCCACCUCAGCUUUCACAGCUCAUUUUUCACCUGCAUUAUUAGAAUAGUGGUCCCCCAGUGGGUUCCCCACCUCUGGAAUCUAUUUGUUCCUCUCCAGUUUCUACACUAGAGCAUGAACACAUUGCUCAUGCCUGCUUCUCUUCCAUGGCUUCUCAUUACAUAUAGAUCAAGUCAAAUUUCUUUACCUUUUUAUGCAAAGCAGGUCAUAAUAUGGCUGCAACCUGCCUGUCCAGUGUUAUCUCUUGUCUGAAUCCUGAUUUAGAUUUAAAGGGGCACAACCAGCAGAACUACACUUCAUUCCACAAUCACACAUCAUUCUUGCCCACUUAUCUUUCUUGUAUAUUUUGCUGUUAAAAUUCUAUGCAUGCUUUAAAGCCACAAAUAUUACUUCAUCUAUGCAGCCUUCUGGUUUGUACCUGUUUAGAAAUUAAGUUUUCUUAUUUUGCACUUUCAAAAGACCAUGAAUGUCAAUAUGGCAGUUACCAUAUUUGAUGUGACACUAUAUUAACAGCAGGGUCUUAAUGUAUGUAUCUUCAUAUAUUUUCAAUGUUCAGCCAAGGGGAAGCAAUAACUGUAUGUUUGGAUUGAAAUAGAUAGCAUGGACCUAGCUCAAUGCAUCUAACCCAUUUCUACUAUAUGAUCUAGUAAGAGAAGUCCACAAGUUCAUUCAUUUUUCUGGGCAUGGUCUAUCUACUGCUGAUAAAUCAAUACAUCUGUUGCUUAUUUUAUGCCCCUUUAUCCUUUCUAAUCCCUUCCUGACAGAAGUGGGGAGUGUAGUGCUGGUUUGUCUUAGAGGGAAAUACAGAGAGGUUGAAGGGCUUUAGAAGAUAUUAUUCCAGAGUCACAUUAAUGCACUAACUUGCCUGUCAAUCAAUACCAAUGUAAAAAUGUAUUAACUCUUCAGCUUUUCCACAUUUCCUGACAUGAAAUUUUGGCAAAAAUUAGAUAGGAGCAAAUGACUCACUAAUUCUAAUUUCAUUUCAUUUCUUUAGAAAUAAUGCUUAGAUGUGACUAGAGAUACACAGAGAGAGAGACAGAGAGAGAGAAACUGAGAGACAGAGAUGAGGAGAGAGAAAGAGAGAGAGAGAGCGAUUCUGUAAAGGGCUCUGAAUUUAUUGACUCACACAACCAUACAGAACCAGGGAGAGGAGAAUGUUUCUGCCAAAUGAAUAGAAGUGAAAGUUUAAAAAUAAAUAAACAAAAAUUACUGCAUCGAGUUCUUUCAUUCCUCCAAUUAAUGACCUUUUCUUAGCAGUUUAACCUCUCUUGGGAGUAAAAGGGAGCUAGGCAAAGGGUAGACAGCAAAGAGCCUAACAUAGAGAAGAGGAGCUCUGGGUCACCUGGGUGAACUUUCAUUUGCUAAAUCAAAAGGAUACAUAACUCAUCCUCAUUACCUUUUGUCCAAGGCAGAAUAAACAACAUCAAAACUGGAAAAAAAGAUGAGUUUACAGCUUACUUAAUUAAGGAAGUGCUGUGCUUAUUAGGGACAGUCUCACUGAGCAGAGCUGCAUGCUAGUCUUAGAAGCCAUAUCAGGUUAGUGUUGGUUAGAGUUGUCUUGGUUACAGUGAUAGCAGUGGGUUGUCAACAGCAUUAGAAACAGAUUAUUAGGCACAACUGUGUUGAACUGGCUGGGUUCAGAAGUAUGAUCACUGGAGUGAGGCUGCCACUGUCUUUAAGCAUGGUGUCACUAACUGGCCAACUUUCGGUGGUGUGUUCAGUUAUUAAUUGAUUGGAUUAUGGUGUGUUGUCAUUGAUAGAUCAGGCAGGAUUAAAACCAGUUCUGGCAUUUACUUGUUACCAUGGUUAUAAAACAAUCUGUCUUUUCCCAUGGAUGAGGGACUUUCAAGUUUGCACUAUCAUGUACAUUUUGUCAUACUUCGUAUUUUAAAAUCACAUUUUACUUCUAUUUUCAGGAAGAUCGAGUGGACUUUCUUUUCUCUACCUUUCCUGCUAACCAUAACUGUCAUUAUAUAUAAAAC